GGCGUGGUGGCGGAGUGGUUAUCGCGACAGACUUGAAUGGUCUUUACGACCGUGACAUCUGUUUCCCUCGGGAGCGUCAGUUCGAAUCUGGCCCACGUCG